rnacentral:misc_RNA from 1 species
CGGAGCAGGCCUCGACCAUCGACGAUCAGGGCGACGACUUCGGAGGAGACUCCAGCCGAGGACAUUUGACCUCGAUCUUUGCCCUAACAAUGCCUUGCUGAGGCGCGAUCCCACUCGCGCUUCACAC